UACGGGGGGAGCAAGCGUUGUUCGGAUUUACUGGGCGUAAAGGGCGCGUAGGCGGCCACCGCAAGUCGACUGUGAAAUCUCCGGGCUUAACCCGGAAAGGUCAGCCGAUACUGCGGGGCUAGAGUGCAGAAGGGGCAACUGGAAUUCUCGGUGUAGAGGUGAAAUUCGUAGAUAUUCGGAAGAACACCAGUGGCGAAGGCGACUUACUGGACACAUAUUGACGCUGAGGUGCGAAAGCGUGGGGAGCAAACAGG
rnacentral:rRNA from 1 species